CCUACGGGAGGCAGCAGUGGGGGAUAUUGCACAAUGGGGGGAACCCUGAUGCAGCGACGCCGCGUGGGUGAAGGAGCGUUUCGGCGCGUAAAGCCCUAUCGGCAAGGAAGAAGAUGACGGUACCUGACCAAGAAUCCCCGGCUAACUACGUGCCAGCAGCCGCGGUACUACGUAGGGGGCAAGCGUUAUCCGGAUUUACUGGGUGUAAAGGGGGCGCAGACGGCAAUGCAAGCCAGGAGUGAAAGCCCGGGGCCCAACCCCGGGACUGCUCUUGAAACUGCAUGGCUGGAGUACAGUAGGGGCAGGCGGAAUGCCUGGUGUAGCGGUGAAAUGCGUAGAUAUUAGGAGGAACACCGUUGGCGAAGGCGGCCUGCUGGACUGUGACUGACGUUGAGGCACGAAGGCGUGGGGAGCAAACAGGAUUAGAUACCCUUGUAGUC
rnacentral:rRNA from 1 species